CCUACGUUACCCACAAUGCAACGCGGCAUCUAACCGUCGACGGUUGGAGAUUCCGUUGGUUUGUUCUGCUGCUAGCGGCUAGUUUUGCCUGGAAGAGCUGUCCCUGGAUAGAAAUGAUUUGGUUAAAGAUUGUCUGUUGAAAGAAAGACUUCCCAAUACUGGAAAUAGGACCACCCAAGGAGCACGUGAAUGCAGGGGAGGCCAGGUCAUCCAGAGGACAGGCAUGUGAAACAUUCCUGCAGCCUGCUGCUGCUGCUGGACCUCCCUCCCAGUUCAGUCUUCCCCUGUCCUCCUUUUCUCCUCCUUCAUCCAUCCUCCCCCGGCUCCAAAUCGUCCUCUUCUUCCCUCUGUCCCAUUUACUAUAAUCUUUUUUGGCAGGGGGUUGGAAUAUACUCAGUCUUUCAGAUUAAACAAGACUAGGAGUCUGCGGCCAUGCAACCAAGUCUGUAAGGCUUUACUGAGGCACAGCUGUGAUCUGAAAUACACUAAUGCCAACAUGCUAAAAUGAUUGUGCCAUCCAAAACUGUCAGAUCAGAAUCAUCAGCUUGAUUGGCCAAGUAUGUGUUUACAAAGAAAGAAUUUGACUCUUGUUAACUUUGACUCAAUGUACAGGAAAUAGUAUGAUACACAUUAAAUCUAAAUAAAUAAAUUAAUAAAAAUCAAAUGUAUCUGAUUAUCCCUCUCACCUCCAACAAAGUGCAGCACAAGACUGCUUUUCUAAUCUUUUCUGCUGGAAGCUUCUGGAAUUGUCUGCCAUGCAAUGGAUGUGACAUCAUCCAAUAUCCAUCAUCCUUAUUUGUAAACUGACCUAUCUUUGCUUUGAGCUGAAUCCUAACAUUAGCAUUACAGUAAGCAUGCAUGAAGUAACUAUGAAAUGUUAUUAUUCUUACAUUCAUGUGUAAUAUUUAUAUAAAAGCCUGUUAAUGUUAGCAUGUUAGAUCUUGAAAUAAAUACUUUGA